UGGGGAAUAUUGCACAAUGGGGGAAACCCUGAUGCAGCAACGCCGCGUGAGCGAAGAAGGCCUUCGGGUUGUAAAGCUCUGUCUUCCCUGACGAUAAUGACGGUAAGGGAGGAGGAAGCCACGGCUAACUACGUGCCAGCAGCCGCGGUAAUACGUAGGUGGCGAGCGUUGUCCGGAAUUAUUGGGCGUAAAGGGUGCGUAGGCGGUUUUUUAAGUGGGAUGUGAAAUCCAUGGGCUUAACCCAUGAAUUGCAUUCCAAACUGGAAAGCUUGAGUGCAGGAGAGGAAAGCGGAAUUCCCAGUGUAGCGGUGAAAUGCGUAGAUAUUGGGAGGAACACCAGUGGCGAAGGCGGCUUUCUGGACUGUAACUGACGCUGAGGCACGAAAGCGUGGGGAGCAAACAGG
rnacentral:rRNA from 1 species